ensembl:lncRNA
CCCUACGUCCAAGCUGCUAGUUUAAGCUAAACCAGAGGAGCAAGAAAUGUGGCUGAUGAACCCCUGUGAUCAAAAUGAGGCAAGAAAUACAGGACCUUGGGCAUCUUAUUAUCUGCCUGAGCAAAGCCUUAGAUACAACAGCCAGGAGGAAGGUGGAGGUUGGAGGAGAUCGCAACAUUACUCAGAGCAUAUUUCCAGCCUUUUAUCUGCUGAGCCAGAGGGACACAGAUGUGGUCGAUACUUGCAUCAGAGACAUUGUAGCAUCCAUUGAUACUCGACUGAGAUUGAUGGAGACAAGAUUCAUCAUAAACAGAAGCAGAAUAAAAUAUUUCUUCUUAAUUCAGUGUUGGAUCUCUCAUGGUAAAAAAAAAAAUGAUUUUGAAAAUACCUGUUUGAAGAUCUCUGCCACUGUAUCACUGAAGACUUCAUUUUAUAUUUCUAAUUAAAGAUCAAACCAUGAAAUAAUCCAAUUUUGCAAAGAUUUCAAGUAUCAGAAACUU